AACGUACGCUGGCGGCACGCUUAACACAUGCAAGUCGAACGAAGUAGCAAUACUUAGUGGCAGACGGGUGAGUAACAUGUGGGUAUCUGCCCUUUGGCCUGGAAUAACACGAGGAAACUUGUGCUAAUACCGGAUAAGUCUUUACGGAGAAAGCUUUAUGCACCAUUGGAUGAGCCCGCACUUGAUUAGUUUGUUGGUGGGGUAAUGGCCUACCAAGACUGUGAUCAAUAGCUGAUUUGAGAGGAUGAUCAGCCACAUUGGGACUGAGACACGGCCCAAACUCCUACGGGAGGCAGCAGUGGGGAAUCUUGCACAAUGGAGGAAACUCUGAUGCAGCGAUGCCGCGUGAGUGAAGAAGGCCCUUGGGUUGUAAAGCUCUUUCGUCGGGGAAGAAAAUGACUGUACCCGAAUAAGAAGGUCCGGCUAACUUCGUGCCAGCAGCCGCGGUAAUACGAAGGGACCUAGCGUAGUUCGGAAUUACUGGGCUUAAAGAGUUCGUAGGUGGUUGAAAAAGUUAGUGGUGAAAUCCCAGAGCUUAACUCUGGAACUGCCAUUAAAACUUUUCAGCUAGAGUAUGAUAGAGGAAAGCAGAAUUUCUAGUGUAGAGGUGAAAUUCGUAGAUAUUAGAAAGAAUACCAAUUGCGAAGGCAGCUUUCUGGAUCAUUACUGACACUGAGGAACGAAGGCAUGGGUAGCGAAGAGGAUUAGAUACCCUCGUAGUCCAUGCCGUAAACGAUGUGUGUUAGACGUUGGAAAUUUAUUUUCAGUGUCGCAGCGAAAGCGAUAAACACACCGCCUGGGGAGUACGACCGCAAGGUUAAAACUCAAAUGAAUUGACGGGGACCCGCACAAGUAGUGGAGCAUGUGGUUUAAUUCGAAGAUACGCGCAGAACCUUACCAACACUUGACAUGUUCGUCGCGACUCUAAGAGAUUAGAGUUUUCGGUUCGGCCGGACGAAACACAGGUGCUGCAUGGCUGUCGUCAGCUCGUGUCGUGAGAUGUUGGGUUAAGUCCCGCAACGAGCGCAACCCUCACUUUUAGUUGCCAUCAUUAAGUUGGGCACUCUGAAAGAACUGCCAGUGAUAAGCUGGAGGAAGGUGGGGAUGACGUCAAGUCCUCAUGGCCCUUACGUGUUGGGCUACACACGUGCUACAAUGGUAUCUACAACAGGAAGCAAGACUGCGAGGUCAAGCAAAUCCUUAAAAGAUACCUCAGUUCGGAUUGCACUCUGCAACUCGAGUGCAUGAAGCUGGAAUUACUAGUAAUCGUGGAUCAGCGUGCCACGGUGAAUGCGUUCCCGGGUCU
rnacentral:rRNA from 1 species